AUUGAACGCUGGCGGCAUGCCUUACACAUGCAAGUCGAACGGUAACGGGCCUUCGGGUGCCGACGAGUGGCGUACGGGUGAGUAAUACAUCGGAACGUGCCCGAUCGUGGGGGAUAACGAGGCGAAAGCUUUGCUAAUACCGCAUACGAUCUACGGAUGAAAGCAGGGGACCGCAAGGCCUUGCGCGGACGGAGCGGCCGAUGGCAGAUUAGGUAGUUGGUGGGAUAAAAGCUUACCAAGCCGACGAUCUGUAGCUGGUCUGAGAGGAUGAUCAGCCACACUGGGACUGAGACACGGCCCAGACUCCUACGGGAGGCAGCAGUGGGGAAUUUUGGACAAUGGGCGCAAGCCUGAUCCAGCCAUGCCGCGUGCAGGAUGAAGGCCUUCGGGUUGUAAACUGCUUUUGUACGGAACGAAAAGCCUUCUUUUAAUACAGGAGGGUCAUGACGGUACCGUAAGAAUAAGCACCGGCUAACUACAUG
rnacentral:rRNA from 1 species